rnacentral:rRNA from 1 species
AGGGUUUAUGAGAGGAUUAUCCCCCACACUGGUACUGAGACACGGACCAGAUUCCUACGGGAGGCAGCAGUGAGGAAUAUUGGACAAUGGGCGAGAGCCUGAACCAGCCAUCCCGCGUGCAGGAUGACGGCCUUAUGGGUUGUAAACUGCUUUUCUACGCCAAGAAACCUGGUUACGAGUAACCAGUUGCCGGUAGCGUAGGAAUAAGCAUCGGCUAACUCCGUGCCAGCAGCCGCGGUAAUACGGAGGAUGCAAGCGUUAUCCGGAUUCAUUGGGUUUAAAGGGUGCGCAGGUGGGCUUUUAAGUCAGUGGUGAAAUGCUGCCGCUUAACGGUAGAAUUGCCAUUGAUACUGAGAGUCUUGAGUAUGGUUGAGGUAGGCGGAAUGUGUUGUGUAGCGGUGAAAUGCAUAGAUAUGACACAGAACGCCGAUUGCGAAGGCAGCUUACUAAGCCAUUACUGACGCUGAGGCACGAAAGCGUGGGGAGCGAACAGGAUUAGAUACCCUGGUAGUCCACGCUGU